rnacentral:lncRNA from 1 species
CUAUCAUUAUCAAAUUAAAAAAAUUAGGAACCUGAAAACCUACCUAGUCAUGCCUUCUCAGCAUUUGCCAGUGCCCCAUCCUCCCUCUCAACAUAUAUGGUAUCACCCCUAAGCAUGACCAUAUCACCUUCGAUAGAUUUUCUUAGCCCUUAAACAAGGUCUCCAAAGGCCACUUCAAUCGGAAUAGUGAGGUUAUCGACUAAUAGAAUUUUGUUUGGUUCUUGUCCAGUAUUUUCUAAAGUCCCCCUAGCCAUCAUAGAUAAUUAUUGCCCAGUA